CGCUGUCUAAAUGACUUAUGUAAUUUCUUCAUCUACUUUUUGAUUGAGGAGUGAUAACUCAGGCGAUGAGUUAUUUGGCAUCAGCCUCAGAGACAAUCUGUUUUCCUUAAAUAAAUCCUGAGGCACCUUUCAGCCACCCAGUUUUAAAAUAAGCCUGUAGUGGAUCGGGUCUGAUGUGCUUGGCAGAUUUGGCCAAAGGAUGAAGUUAGGAUUUGCUGUCAUUAUUCCGCUUUGUUUAUUGUUCUGUCAUUAAGUGAGAGUUCUAGAUGUAGUACUGAGGAAAAUGAGAAGUGGGGCGAAAGGCAGUUUUUGUGUUACAGCACAGGGGUAUGGCAGGGCAUUUUGUCCCUGCUGGCAGAGGCACUAUUUUGCUCAAAAGCACACAGUGUUGUCCAAGAACCAGAGAGGAGAAUGCACACCAACACCAGCCUGGAUCCGUAGCCUGGGAUGUGGGUGAUGUACCCCAGAGAAGGGAAAAGAGUAAUCAAUUUUUCUUCUACAGCUGAAUACAAAUCAGAGCUCAGAGUAUCUGCGUCUGAGGUUUAAAUGUAGAGUGCCAUUACACAAGCAAAAUCUGCCAAUCAGGGCCAAUCACAUGAGUGAUUCUGCGGAGGCUGAAGCAGGAUUGCCGAACUCAUUGUCAUGCGUGGCUAAACAGAGAAUUGAACCUUGUGAAAGGUUAGUGAUUUUAGAUAAUUUUAAAACGAUUGCACAGGAGGUGAUACAGCUGCUGUCAGUCUACCCUAAUCCUGUUCUCCGCUGGAUCUGCCCUUGCAGAGGCACUGCUUUCUCUCAGUGAUUAAGGGGAGACAUUGCUUUCAGAGGUGCUGAUUCAGCAGAGCAAAGAGUCAGUAAAUUAGCAAUGACUGUAAGGGAAUUUUAAAUAUUGGUAGAGUACCAAACUUCUACUGUUAUAGUGUCUUGGAGAAGAAAUUCUAAUUAAGUUACUCUACCAGGAAGUGUGGGAGAGAUGA
rnacentral:lncRNA from 1 species